rnacentral:rRNA from 1 species
CUGGCUCAGAACGAACGCUGGCGGCACGCCUAACACAUGCAAGUCGAACGAGAUCUUCGGAU